rnacentral:rRNA from 1 species
UGGGGAAUUUUGGACAAUGGGCGAAAGCCUGAUCCAGCAAUGCCGCGUGUGUGAAGAAGGCCUUCGGGUUGUAAAGCACUUUUGUCCGGAAAGAAAUCCUUGGCUCUAAUACAGUCGGGGGAUGACGGUACCGGAAGAAUAAGCACCGGCUAACUACGUGCCAGCAGCCGCGGUAAUACGUAGGGUGCAAGCGUUAAUCGGAAUUACUGGGCGUAAAGCGUGCGCAGGCGGUUUGCUAAGACCGAUGUGAAAUCCCCGGGCUCAACCUGGGAACUGCAUUGGUGACUGGCAGGCUAGAGUAUGGCAGAGGGGGGUAGAAUUCCACGUGUAGCAGUGAAAUGCGUAGAGAUGUGGAGGAAUACCGAUGGCGAAGGCAGCCCCCUGGGCCAAUACUGACGCUCAUGCACGAAAGCGUGGGGAGCAAACAGGAUUAGAUACCCUGGUAGUCCACGCCCUAAACGAUGUCAACUAGUUGCUGGGGAUUCAUUUCCUUAGUAACGUAGCUAACGCGUGAAGUUGACCGCCUGGGGAGUACGGUCGCAAGAUUAAACUCAAAUGAAUUGACGGGGUCAUAGCUGUUUCC